rnacentral:rRNA from 1 species
GUGGGGAAUUUUGGACAAUGGGCGCAAGCCUGAUCCAGCAAUGCCGCGUGCAGGAUGAAGGCCUUCGGGUUGUAAACUGCUUUUGUACGGAACGAAAAGCCCUGGGUUAAUACCCUGGGGUCAUGACGGUACCGUAAGAAUAAGCACCGGCUAACUACGUGCCAGCAGCCGCGGUAAUACGUAGGGUGCGAGCGUUAAUCGGAAUUACUGGGCGUAAAGCGUGCGCAGGCGGUUUUGUAAGACAGAGGUGAAAUCCCCGGGCUCAACCUGGGAACUGCUUUUGUGACUGCAAGGCUAGAGUACGGAAGAGGGGGAUGGAAUUCCGCGUGUAGCAGUGAAAUGCGUAGAUAUGCGGAGGACCACCGAUGGCGAAGGCAAUCCCCUGGGCCUGUACUGACGCUCAUGCACGAAAGCGUGGGGAGCAAACAGGAUUAGAAACCCCAGUAGUCC